AUUGAACGCUGGCGGCAUGCCUAACACAUGCAAGUCGAACGGAGCGGCGAACGGGUGAGUAAUGCAUGGGAAGCUGCCUGGUAGUGAGGGAUAACUUCGGGAAACAGGCGCUAAUACCACAUACUAUAAGGUCGGCCUAGGGGGGAUUAGCUAGGUGGUGGGGUAAAGGCUCACCAAGGCGACGAUCCGUAGCUGGUCUGAGAGGACGAUCGGUCACACUGGGACUGAGACACGGCCCAGACUCCUACGGGAGGCAGCAGUGGGGAAUAUUGGACAAUGGGCGAAAGCCUGAUCCAGCCAUGCCGCGUGUGUGAAGAAGGUCUUCGGAUUGUAAAGCACUGUAAGUAGGGAGGCGGUACCUACAGAAUAAGCACCGGCUAACUUCGUGCCAGCAGCCGCGGUAAUUC
rnacentral:rRNA from 1 species